GGGUGAGUAACGCGUGGGAACGUGCCUCUUGGUGCGGAACAACAGCUGGAAACGGCUGCCGAUACCGCAUGAUGUCUACGGACCAAAGAUUUAUCGCCAAGGGAUCGGCCCGCGUCGGAUUAGGUAGUUGGUGGGGUAACGGCCCACCAAGCCGACGAUCCGUAGCUGGUUUGAGAGGAUGAUCAGCAACACUGGGACUGAGACACGGCCCAGACUCCUACGGGAGGCAGCAGUGGGGAAUUGUUCGCAAUGGGCGCAAGCCUGACGACGCAACGCCGCGUGGAGGAUGAAGAUCUUCGGGGCGUAAACUCCUUU
rnacentral:rRNA from 1 species